rnacentral:rRNA from 1 species
CCUACGGGAGGCAGCAGUGGGGAAUAUUGCACAAUGGGGGAAACCCUGAUGCAGCGACGCCGCGUGAGUGAAGAAGUAUUUCGGUAUGUAAAGCUCUAUCAGCAGGGAAGAAGAAAGACGGUACCUGACUAAGAAGCCACGGCUAACUACGUGCCAGCAGCCGCGGUAAUACGUAGGGGGCAAGCGUUAUCCGGAUUUACUGGGUGUAAAGGGAGCGUAGACGGCUGUGCAAGUCUGAAGUGAAAGCCCAGGGCUCAACCCUGGGACUGCUUUGGAAACUGUGGAGCUAGGGUGCUGGAGAGGUAAGUGGAAUUCCUAGUGUAGCGGUGAACUGCGUAGAUAUUAGGAGGAACACCAGUGGCGAAGGCGGCUUACUGGACAGUAACUGACGUUGAGGCUCGAAAGCGUGGGGAGCAAACAGGAUUAGAUACCCCAGUAGUC